AACGAACGCUGGCGGCAUGCCUAACACAUGCAAGUCGAACGAGACCUUCGGGUCUAGUGGCGCACGGGUGCGUAACGCGUGGGAACCUGCCCUUAGGUUCGGAAUAACUCCCCGAAAGGGGUGCUAAUACCGGAUAAUGUCUUCGGUCCAAAGAUUUAUCGCCUUUGGAUGGGCCCGCGUUGGAUUAGCUAGUUGGUAGGGCAAAAGCCUACCAAGGCGACGAUCCAUAGCUGGUCUGAGAGGAUGAUCAGCCACACUGGGACUGAGACACGGCCCAGACUCCUACGGGAGGCAGCAGUGGGGAAUAUUGGACAAUGGGCGAAAGCCUGAUCCAGCAAUGCCGCGUGAGUGAUGAAGGCCUUAGGGUUGUAAAGCUCUUUUACCCGGGAUGAUAAUGACAGUACCGGGAGAAUAAGCUCCGGCUAACUCCGUG
rnacentral:rRNA from 1 species